UACGGGGGGGCAAGCGUUGUUCGGAAUUACUGGGCGUAAAGGGUUCGUAGGUGGCCAACUAAGUCAGACGUGAAAUCCCUCAGCUUAACUGGGAACUGCGUCUGAGACUGGAUGGCUUGAGUGCAGGAGAGGAACGCGGAAUUCCAGGUGUAGCGGUGAAAUGCGUAGAUAUCUGGAGGAACACCGGUGGCGAAGGCGGCGUUCUGGACUGCUACUGACACUGAGGAACGAAAGCCAGGGAGCAAACGGG
rnacentral:rRNA from 1 species